rnacentral:tRNA from 1 species
AGGCCAGUAGCUCAGUUGGUUAGAGCAUCACCCUGAUAAGGUGGGGGUCGGCAGUUCGACUCUGCCCUGGCCUA